rnacentral:rRNA from 1 species
AUGGCGAGGGGAAGAGGUCGCCCUUGUGCCUCAUCAGUGGCGACGAGAACUCCUCCUCGGCGCCAUGUUCCUGUCCCAACUGCUGCGGCAGGGGCUGGAUCCAGUGCACAAGGUGAAGCCGAGGGGCGCGGACGGGGUCGACGCAGCGCCCGUGGUCGAGGUGGACGGAGCGACGCGCUCGCCGCAUCUUCUUCUACUGCUCCAACACUGACAGAAGGCCACGCUGGGGAUACGACGUUGGAGUUCAUUGUCAAGCUGCGUUAUCCUCCACAUAACCGCCUGCGACUCCCUCGUCCUUUCACCAUGGUGAUGGAGGUUGACCAGCCACCUGGGCUGCGGUUGCGCAUGAGUGGCUGCCGCAAUGGCGAGGCGUGGGUGGAUGUCGAGUUCCCCAUGCCACACGCCAUGCUCCUUGGGCGCGGGUGGAAGACCUUCGCCCACGCCCACUCCCUUGCAGCGGGGCAUGUUCUCUCCCUCAAGUUGGUGGAGGCUGAUCUGCUCUCCAUCAAGGUCUUUGGGCAUUCAGGAGCUCGCCUUGGAUGCUGUAUGGAAAGCUCGAGCGAUGACGAAAGCUCCUCCUCGAGCGAUAGCGACAAGGAGGAGACCUGUGGAGAGGACGACGACAACGAGCCCCGGGUCGUCAAGCACGAAGGCGACAAUCCGGACUUUAGCUGA